GCCACCGUAGCUCAGUUGGUAGAGCAGUUGAUUUGUAAUCAUCAGGUCGGGGGUUCGAAUCCCUUCGGUGGCUCCA
rnacentral:tRNA from 9 species